AUCCAGAUGACGAGUCCCAAAUAGUACUAAACUCGCGUCCUGGAU
rfam:Schistosoma mattheei strain Denwood, Zambia genome assembly, scaffold: SMTD_scaffold0001791